AUCUAGCUGACGAGUCCCAAAUAGGACGAAACGCGAGCCGUGGAU
rnacentral:hammerhead_ribozyme from 1 species